rnacentral:rRNA from 1 species
CCGAAAGACGAGUGGCGAACGGGUGCGUAACGCGUAUGCAAUCUGCCUUUUACUAGGGUAUAGCCCAGAGAAAUUUGGAUUAAUCCCCUAUAAUAUCAUUUAAUCGCAUGAUUUUAUGAUUAAAGCUUCGGCGGUAAAAGAUGAGCAUGCGUCCUAUUAGUUAGUAGGUGAGGUAACGGCUCACCUAGACUCCGAUAGGUAGGGGUCCUGAGAGGGAGAUCCCCCACACUGGUACUGAGACACGGACCAGACUCCUACGGGAGGCAGCAGUGAGGAAUAUUGGACAAUGGACGAAAGUCUGAUCCAGCUAUGCCGCGUGCAGGAUGACGGCCCUAUGGGUUGUAAACUGCUUUUAUACAGGAAGAAAAACUCCGACGUGUCGGAACUUGACGGUACUGUAAGAAUAAGGAUCGGCUAACUCCGUGCCAGCAGCCGCGGUAAUACGGAGGAUCCAAGCGUUAUCCGGAAUCAUUGGGUUUAAAGGGUCCGUAGGCGGUUUUUUAAGUCAGAGGUGAAAUCCUGCAGCUCAACUGUAGAAUUGCCUUUGAUACUGAAAGACUUGAGUUAUUGUGAAGUGGUUAGAAUGUGUGGUGUAGCGGUGAAAUGCAUAGAUAUCACACAGAAUACCAAUUGCGAAGGCAGAUCACUAACAAUAUACUGACGCUCAGGGACGAAAGCGUGGGUAGCGAACAGGAUUAGAUACCCUGGUAGUCCACGCCGUAAACGACGGAUACUAGCUGUAUGUCUACUUCAGGUAGAUGUGUGGCU